rnacentral:misc_RNA from 1 species
AACCAUAGAAACCUGCGGAGUACCUGCGGAAGGAUCAUUAAAAAAAUGAUGAAUGUCGGGGGGCGUUCAGAAUUAGUUUUACUUUUUUUGUCGCUCUCCGUGUAUUCAACCAACCCGCUCUUGCAUUUGGAUCAACCAAAAAUAAACAAAAAUACUAAAAAUAAACUUUUAACAAUGGAUCU